AUCUCUCAAUUCGACCAAGCUCUGUUCAAGUCGGUCAAAGAUAUUAUCUGACCAGCCCCAGUUUUGAUAUAGCCAAUAGGUUUGCCAUAUACUUCGAAAAACGGAUAGGCUUGAGGCUCCUUCCUUGAAAGAUACAAAGACCUGAAAAUCCGCUGCCUUCUGUUCAUUUACUACAAGAAAAUAGUUUUCCUCCUUGUACAUAUGAAUGAGUUUCUUGAUUUGCUUGGAUCUGUAUUUGCCCG
rnacentral:misc_RNA from 1 species